UCUUCCUCUAGCUCUUCAAAUAGGGAACACAACCUAGCCAUCCCUGAUCCCUGCAAGACUGUCGGGACCACCAUGGACAAGACCACAGGGGUCACGCAGAUGCCUGUUGUAGAAGCUGAUGGUGGUGAGUGCUGGGAUUAAAGGUGACGCCACCACCCUUCCCCACUUCCUCCCUUCCUGGACUGGAACUUCAGCCUCCAGAGUGCGGCGACAACAUACCCAGCGAAGUAUCUGCCUUUUCUGUGACCUAGCUUCAUCGUCUGGAAUUAAAGACGUGUGCCACCACACCAGCUUAUUUCAUUUUUAAGAUAUGUUUAUUUGUACUUUGUGCCCAUGUGUGUUUCGCCUGCAUGGAUGGCUGCACAGCCUGUGUGUGGUGCCAUGACUUUCCUGCACUGACGGACUGUAACCUCACAUUGUGAGCUGAAAUAAAGGUUUUCUCCCUUGA